UGAUGAUGGUGAAGUUUACGAAGAUUCUGAAUAGCAAUUAAGUAACUUCACAAAUACCAGUGCAGGAGUGGAGCAGGAAGCCUGUACUGGUGUGCGAGGGCUCUCGCCUUACUCAGCUGCUCCUGUGCUUAACAAAAAAUUACUCGGAGAUCUUCAGAUUGAUGACCUGCAUGAAGUAAAGUAUCCAGUAAUUUCUUCGAGCUUGUCUGUGCUUUAUGAAGAUCACUUCUAUUUCAUAAAUUCUGUUCCCAGAGUCGAGCAGGAAGGUUGCGUUGGUGAGCGAGGGCUCGCCCCUGAUUUGGCCACUCAUGUGGUUAGCAAUAAAUCACUGAAAACUCUUCAUCAGGUCAGUUUGCAGAGACAGAGUCUUUUCAUUGAAUGUAAAGUUGCAAUUGACUUGGCACUUAGCGAUGGAUGAUGACCUGCGUGAAGAAAUGAAAUUGCUAGUAAUUUCUUUGCAUUUGUCUAAGGUAUCAGAUUGUCUGAAGUAGCGCGGCUGCAGUGUAGCAGCUAUGCAAGAACUUAAUCUGCAUUUCGUUGUAGUUGACAGGGAGCAGAG
rnacentral:misc_RNA from 1 species